UAGGGAAUCUUCCGCAAUGGGCGAAAGCCUGACGGAGCAACGCCGCGUGAGUGAUGAAGGUCUUCGGAUCGUAAAACUCUGUUAUUAGGGAAGAACAAAUGUGUAAGUAACUAUGCACGUCUUGACGGUACCUAAUCAGAAAGCCACGGCUAACUACGUGCCAGCAGCCGCGGUAAUACGUAGGUAGCAAGCGUUAUCCGGAAUUAUUGGGCGUAAAGCGCGCGUAGGCGGUUUUUUAAGUCUGAUGUGAAAGCCCACGGCUCAACCGUGGAGGGUCAUUGGAAACUGGAAAACUUGAGUGCAGAAGAGGAAAGUGGAAUUCCAUGUGUAGCGGUGAAAUGCGCAGAGAUAUGGAGGAACACCAGUGGCGAAGGCGACUUUCUGGUCUGUAACUGACGCUGAUGUGCGAAAGCGUGGGGAUCAAACAGG
rnacentral:rRNA from 1 species